rnacentral:rRNA from 1 species
GACGAACGCUGGCGGCGUGCUUAACACAUGCAAGUCGAACGGUGAAGCGCCUUCCUUUUUGGUGGGUGUGGAUGAGUGGCGAACGGGUGAGUAACACGUGAGUAACCUGCCCCCUUCUUCUGGAUAACCGCAUGAAAGUGUGGCUAAUACGGGAUAUUCUGGGUCUGUCGCAUGAUGGGUCUGGGAAAGAUAUUGUUUCGGUGGGGGAUGGGCUCGGGGCCUAUUAGCUUGUUGGUGGGGUGAUGGCCUACCAAGGCGGUGACUGGUAGCCGGCCUGAGAGGUCGGACGGUCACACGGGGACUGAGACACGGCCCAGACUCCUACGGGAGGCAGCAGUGGGGAAUAUUGCAAAAUGGGCGCAAGCCUGAUGCAGCGACGCCGCGUGAGGGAUGGAGGCCUUCGGGUUGUGAACCUCUUUCGCCAGUGAAGCAGGCCUGCCUCGUUUGUGGGUGGGUUGACGGUAGCUGGAUAAGAAGCGCCGGCUAACUACGUG